UUGCUAUUGGUUCAAUUGUGCUGGUCUCUGGGUGCAGGUCGGCGACGGAUGAGAGUCUGGUGAACGUAUCGUCGGUCGCGGA
rnacentral:tRNA from 1 species